rnacentral:tRNA from 1 species
GGUAAAUGGCUGAGUAAGCAUUAGACUGUAAAUCUAAAGACAGGGGUUGAGCCCCCUUUUACCA